AUGGUUAUAUCAUGACCAUGAACUCUUUCUCUUCCUUUAUAUUUCUUCUCUGAUUCUCUCUCUCGUUUUCUUGUCUAUUCCGAAGAACCCUGAACUCUACUAGACAAAUCAUUAUAUUCUUUUAAAACCCGUACCAAAGAUCCAGUAGCCAACAGUUCAGAUGAAGAAUUAAGGAACAAGAAGAAGACUUCUAGAACUUCUAAAAGGCCACAGAGAUUGAGAGGCGUGUAGCUCAAGAAACGAAGGCUGAGAAUCAUAAUUAGAAACUACUACUGCUUGGUGCAUUUGAAAGGGUCUUGUGCCACCAGCCAAAGGGAGUGGCUGAAGAUGCUUUAAAUUGCAAUAAGUCUAUACAACCAUCUGUUUUGAGCCACUUGUUGGAGUCUAAACCAGAUUGGAAUGAAACAAAAUUCUUUAUAAAAUGGAAGGGGCAGUCGUAUUUAUACAGCCAGUGGAAAUCAUUUUCAGAUCUCCAAAAUCUUACUGGGUUCAAAAAGGUCGUGAACUACACCAAAAGAGUGAUGGGGGAAAGGGGAUAUAGAAUGACUCUGUCUUGACAAGAGGUUGAGGUCCAUGAUAUGCGCAAGGAAAUGAAGUUAGAUUUUAUCAAGCAACAUAGUCAGCUUAGUAGGAUCAAAAAGGUCAUGAACUACACCAAAAUAGUGAUGGAGGAAAGGAGAUACAAAAUGACUCUUGUCUCAAGAAGAGGACACUCUGAUGGAACUAGUAGGUCAAAGCAGAGUAGAACUGAGAAGAAGAGUCGGAAGGAAAUGUUGAAGCUUGGGAUGAAACCCAUCCCCGGUGUCAGCCGUGUUACCGUCAAGAAGAGCAAGAACAUUUUGUUCGUCAUCACUAAACCAAAUGUUUUCAAGAGCCCAACAUCUGACUCAUAUGUAAUCUUUGGAUAGGCAAAGAUUAAGGUUUUAUUGUCAAAGCUGCUCUUUAAGCUUACCAUGGGCUCGAUUUAGCUGUUUUUUGGGGGGGCAGGUUAUUCUUCCACUGUCUCA